rnacentral:rRNA from 1 species
UACAGAGGGUGCAAGCGUUGCUCGGAAUCAUUGGGCGUAAAGGGCAGGUAGGUGGUCCCAUUUGUCUGAGGUGAAAGCCUUGAGCUUAACUCAAGAAGUGCCUUAGAAACGGUGGGACUAGAGUGCUAGAGAGGGUUGUGGAAUUCCCGGUGUAGCGGUGAAAUGCGUAGAGAUCGGGAGGAAUACCGGUGGCGAAGGCGGCAUCCUGGACCGACAUUGACGCUGAGGAGCGAAAGCUAGGGGAGCAAACGGG